AAAAAAACAUGGCUUCAAGCAUCAACUGUCUGUAUUUUUUUAUUGCAAUUCUAUGCAUUGCUUCUGCUUUGAGUCUAGGAGAAGCAACAUAUUUUACAUACUGCUUUGGAAAAGGGCCAUGUCCAAAUAACACUCCAGCUUGUAGUGAUAUUUGUGUAAAAAUGGGGUAUCAAUAUGGUUUUUGUAAUACUUACACUGGUGCGUGUUGUUGUAGGGGGGGAUAAAUUAUACUUUCUCAAAGUGUUGGCACACGUUUACCAAUGUAUCAAGUCUAAAUUCGUGUAUAAAUACAUUGAUAUUUAGACUUACCAAUGUAUUUAGUCUAAAUUCAAUGUAUAAGUGUUGGCACACGUUUACCAAUUAAUCGUAAAAAUAGAAUUUGCUUAUAAUUAA